rnacentral:rRNA from 1 species
GACGAACGCUGGCGGCGUGCUUAACACAUGCAAGUCGAGCGGAGCGGCGAACGGGUGGGUAACGCGUUAGUAACUGCCCCCCUCUCUGGGAUAACAGUUGGAAACGGCUGCUAAUACCGGAUAGUGGGGGAUGACUCGCGUCCUAUCGGCUUGUUGGUUGGGUAGUGGCCUACCAAGGCGACGACGGGUAGCCGGCCUGAGAGGGGGAACGGCCACAUGGGGCUGAGAUACGGCCCAAACGCGUACGGGAGGCAGCAGUGGGGAAUAUGGCACAACGGGGGAAACCCUGAGGAAGCAACGCCGCGGGCGUAAUGAAGGCCUUCGGGUGGUAAACCGCUUUCAGCCAUGACGCGGUAGUGGCAGAAGAAGCACCGGCUAACUACGUGCCAGCAGCCGCGGUAAUUC